AUGGAGCCGGCUCGGGGGGCACCCGGGGGGCCGGGAGGAUCCGCUGGCAUCCUGGCCCGGGGCAGGGGGCCCCGGCUCGGGAGGGGGCCGGCCCGGCAGCGGGGAGCCUGGGGACUGCUGCGGGAGCGGCCGGCCUGAGCGAGAACAGCGGGCAGGAUGGCUGACGUCCCUGCAGGGCGCCCUCGGCAUGGAGUCCCCAUGACAACGAGAUGCGGCUUUCCAGGGACACCGAUUCCUAGCUCCAAACCUGCAAGGUCCCAGCAUGCCUUGCAAGGUGGGGGGGGCAGGGAUCACUCACCCUGCUGCUGAAAUGCAGCCACCUCUGGGGUGGGACGCACUGGAGAGGACGUUGCCGCAAACCCUGCUGCGUGGAUGCUGAACUCCCAGGAAGCAGACAGGGCGGUAGGAAUGUGAGAGCAGCAUCUGUCACCAGUUCACAACAGCGAAUAGUUUUGUCUGAUGGGGAAACUGAGGCACACAGUGACCUUGUCCAAGGUCAUACCGGGAGUCUGCGGUGGAGCUGGGAAUUGAGGCCAGAUCUCCUGAGUCAAAGCCCAGUGAAAGCUUCGUGCAUCCACGCUGUGCAGUACGAAUGAAAUACUCUCUAUUCCAGGAGUAACCAGGGAGGACUUAAACAGCAGCUGCUACAGCUAAACACUUUCAGAGCUGCAGGACCUGGAAAGCUUGUACCCAAGUGUUGUAAGAGAAUUGGCUGAGGAGCUCAUUGAGCCAUUAAUGUUGGUAUUCAGAGUUUUUUUAAACACCGGGAAAGUUCCAGGGGACUGGACAAAACACGACCAUUGUGCCAGUAUUUUAAAAUGAGAAAUGAGAUGACUUAGGUAACUAGAGACCAGGGGUCAGUAAACACCCUGGCAGGCCGGGCCAGUUUGUUUAUCUGCCGCAUUGGCAGGUUCGGCCGAUCACGGCUCCCACUGGCCGCGAUUCACUGUUCCAGGCCAAUGGGGGAGGCGGGAAGUGCCGCAGGCCGAGGGAUGUGCUGGGAGCCGCGAUCGGCCAACCCCUGCUAUAGACUGUUUAGCCUGACAUCAGUCCUGGGCACAGUCACCGCAGUAUUCCCCGUUUUGUAGUUGUGCACUCGAGUUUUCCUUCCUGAAGGGUUAAAAUCCAUGUGCAUUAUAUAACAACCUGGUACAUGGAUUGUGCCAGCUCUUUUUUUAGACCCAAAGUCCAGAGUUUGGUCAAGAGACCAGAGGUCCAGCAAAUAGUGAUUAGCUAAGAGAAAGCCGGGUAAACGAGAUAACUGCCUUUGCUAAGACAUGCGUGGUCAGUAGAAAUGCCAGAUGUUGAAGCAAUAACUGAAUAAUUAUGUUUCAUCCAAUGUUUCAAAUUGAACAAAGGAUCCCUGUUCCUAUUGUGUCAGUCUCUUCUGAAGGGAAGGUUCUUCCCACAGAUCCAACCUUGAGUAUAUGAAAAGUUGGCACAUGUCAGUAUAAGAUAUGGCAUCCUUCCA